UUUUUUUCAAAUCCAGACUUCCUUUUUUCCCCAAAAUAUCCUAAGAGAAAAUUCGUCAGACUAGGUUUUCUAUCUUAGGAGAAAGAUUCAUCAGACUAAGACGUUAAUCCUAGGAGAAAAUUCAUCAGACUAUGUCCUUUUUCUUUUUUUUUUGGUAUCUUAGGAGAAAGAUUCAUCUGACUAAGAUUUCUAUCCUAGGAGAAAGUUCAUCAGACUAGGUCUUCUAUCUUAGGAGAAAGAUUCAUCAGACUAAGACGUUAAUCCUAGGAGAAAAUUCAUCAGACUAGGUCCUUUUUUUUUUUGGUAUCUUAGGAGAAUGAUUCAUCAGACUAAGACAUCUAUCCUAGGAGAAAGUUCAUCAGACUAGGUCUUCUAUCUUAGGAGAAAAAUUCAUCAGACUAAGAUUUUGAUCCUAGGAGAAAGUUCAUCAGACU
rnacentral:lncRNA from 1 species